rnacentral:rRNA from 1 species
UACGGAGGAGGCAAGCGUUAUCCGGAAUUAUUGGGCGUAAAGCGUCCGCAGGUGGUUUUCCAAGUCUGCUGUUAAAGCGCGAGGCUUAACCUCGUACAGGCAGUGGAAACUGGAUGACUAGAGUAUGGUAGGGGUAGCGGGAAUUCCCAGUGUAGCGGUGAAAUGCGUAGAUAUUGGGAAGAACACCAGCGGCGAAAGCGCGCUACUGGGCCAUUACUGACACUCAUGGACGAAAGCUAGGGGGGCGAAAGGG